rnacentral:snRNA from 2 species
AGCCGUGUGGUGAGCACAGAGCGAACUAUUCUUUCGCCUUUUACUAAAGAAUACCGUGUGCUCGCCACUGGAAGCGGCAUACGCCAAUUUUUGGAAAGGGUAUUCUUGAUUGAAUACU